rnacentral:rRNA from 1 species
GUAGGGAAUAUUGGACAAUGGGCGAAAGCCUGAUCCAGCAAUGCCGCGUGAGUGAUGAAGGCCUUAGGGUUGUAAAGCUCUUUUACCAGGGAUGAUAAUGACAGUACCUGGAGAAUAAGCUCCGGCUAACUCCGUGCCAGCAGCCGCGGUAAUACGGAGGGAGCUAGCGUUGUUCGGAAUUACUGGGCGUAAAGCGCGCGUAGGCGGCGAUUUAAGUCAGAGGUGAAAGCCCGGGGCUCAACCCCGGAAUAGCCUUUGAGACUGGAUUGCUAGAAUCCUGGAGAGGUGGGUGGAAUUCCGAGUGUAGAGGUGAAAUUCGUAGAUAUUCGGAAGAACACCAGUGGCGAAGGCGGCUCACUGGACAGGUAUUGACGCUGAGGUGCGAAAGCGUGGGGAGCAAACAGGAUUAGAAACCCUGGUAGUCC